UACGGGGGGGGCAAGCGUUGUUCGGAAUUACUGGGCGUAAAGGGCUCGUAGGCGGCCAACUAAGUCAGACGUGAAAUCCCUCGGCUUAACCGGGGAACUGCGUCUGAUACUGGAUGGCUAGAGUUUGGGAGAGGGAUGCGGAAUUCCAGGUGUAGCGGUGAAAUGCGUAGAGAUGUGGAGGAACACCAGUGGCGAAGGCGACUCUUUGGCCUGUAACUGACGCUGAGGCGCGAAAGCGUGGGGAGCAAACAGG
rnacentral:rRNA from 1 species